AUUCUAAAUUUUGCCGAAUGAUUAAGCUUGAAAUCUAGGACACAUUCUAAAUUUUGCCGAAUGAUUAAGCUUUAAAUCUAGGAUACAUUCCAAAUUUUGUGGAAUAAUUAAGCUUGAAAUCUAGGACACAUUCCAAAUUUUUCAAAAUGGUUAAGCUCAAAAUGAUAAUUUUCGUAAGUUGAAACGAGCACGCAUUCCAGGAUUUCAACACUGGUUUACCUUCUGUCCGGUGGUGGUGCGUUAACCAUAUAUUUAAAAGAUGGUAACAUACUUAAAUGUAACUUGUUAUAAUACCAAGGUAUUAAAAGCUAGAAUUUUUCAAAUACAAAUGAAUAAUAGGCAAUUUGGUAGAACUCUGAAAACAAGAAAGUACUAAACAUUUCUGGUUUAUUCACUUGAAAAACUGGUAGUUGUGCGCUUACACUUUGAUAGAAUGUGUACAAUAAUAUUCCGUUUCGUGAAGUGAGCGUUGCGAUGAUCCUUUAAAAGUACUAAACAUUUCUGGUUUACUUCACUUGAAAAACUGGUAGUUGUGCGCUUACACUUUGAUAGAAUGUGUGCAAUAAUCUUCCGUUUCGUGAAGUGAGCGUUGCGAUGAUCCUUUAAAAGUACUAAACAUUUCUGGUUUACUUCACUUGAAAAACUGGUAGUUGUCCGCUUUCACUUUGAGAGAGUGUGUGCAAUAAUCUUCCGUUUCGUAAAGUGAGCGUUGUGAUGAUCCUUUAAAACGAAACUAUCCUUUUAAUAAAGCAUGCAAGUAGGCAUGAUUAGCUUCGUUGUAAGUAUUCUCAAACCAGAACAGUUGGUUUAUUCUUCGUGUAUAGAACAGCCAAUCUUUUAUGUUUGACAGAAGAUGGAUACAGCAAGAAGCAGAAAAAAGAAAGUUUUAUAAUUAAUUAUAUACCUUUAACCCUUAACUAUGAGAUCACAUCAGUAUAUAUAUGACUGUCCUUUCAUAUACAUUAUUGGAUAUGUAUUCUAGGCUAAAACAUUUAUUAUCAACCCACCCGCUCAUCCUUUCAUCCGCGUGGUAUUGAAAAUGAAGAUACUAUGCAAUUACUUUUUCUUACAUGCUCCAUUCUCUCUCAUUUUAUGCUUCCUUUUACUUGAAGACUGAAGAAAAGUAGGCUUACUUCAAUGAAGAAAAGUAGGCUUACUUCAAUGAAAAAAAUAGGCUUACUUCAGUGUUCGUCUUUAAAAUAAAAACUAAUUUCCCACAGUACAAUAUCCUAACACGAAAAAAAAAACAUUCUUCAAUUGAGUUUGUUUUUCAGUUGAAUUUCAUGAUUUCUUUAGAUAUAUCAUAAAUAUUUUGAUUUAAUUCAAAUAGUCUAUUCGCUUUGAUUUACUCUAUUCGUUUAGUUAAUCACAAAGGUACACCAUGGGCUAUCUAUCCUUUGCCCACCACUGGUAUUGAAACUUGAUUCUUAUGGUGGUAAGCCUGCAGACCUACCGCUGAGCCACUGGAUGGGCUACUCUGUUCGUAAAUAAAUUAUACAAUAAUGAAAAGCAUUUUUUACUACAAUAAAGAACAAUUCAAUUAUCAAACCUUCAGGGGACACAAAUCGCCGGUCCCCUUUUUUUGAGAUUCAUUAAAAAAAACAACGAUUUAAUGUUAAAUCACCUUCUUCCAUUCUCGAUAAUGAAGUUGAUGCUAGUUAGAAAUAUUACAAGUGACUUAGAGAAGUACCUCUAAGAGAAGUUUAUGGACUUCCAACAUUAAAAACUGGGGUUAGAUCCCCGUGCUGUGGGCAGAGCUCAGAUAGCCAAUUCUUUGAGUUUGAGAUAAAACAGUUCACGUAUAGUUGAAGAAUAGAUAGUUAGUCCCCCCCCCCCCCCCCGAUUUACCUAAA